rnacentral:rRNA from 1 species
GAUGAACGCUGGCGGCGUGCCUAAUACAUGCAAGUCGAGCGAACAGACGAGGAGCUUGCUCCUCUGACGUUAGCGGCGGACGGGUGAGUAACACGUGGAUAACCUACCUAUAAGACUGGGAUAACUUCGGGAAACCGGAGCUAAUACCGGAUAAUAUAUUGAACCGCAUGGUUCAAUAGUGAAAGACGGUUUUGCUGUCACUUAUAGAUGGAUCCGCGCCGCAUUAGCUAGUUGGUAAGGUAACGGCUUACCAAGGCAACGAUGCGUAGCCGACCUGAGAGGGGGAUCGGCGAAACUGGAACGGAGACACGGUCCAGACUACUACGGGAGGCAGCAGUAGGGAAUCUUCCGCAAAGGGCGAAAGCCUGACGGAGCAACGCCGCGUGAGUGAUGAAGGUCUUCGGAUCGUAAAACUCUGUUAUGAGGGAAGAACAAAUGUGUAAGUAACUAUGCACGUCUUGACGGUACCUAAGCAGAAAGCCACGGCUAACUACGUG